UUAGCCCGGAAGGAUGAUGAUGGACAAACCGAGAUUGAGAUGAGAAAUAAAUGUAGUCGCCGUCGUGUUGUCCUUGUCUGUGUGUAAUUUGUGCGUCUCAAAAUAUUCGCCGACGGAAGUAAAGAGGAGAUAAAAAAUCUUUUUCCCUUCGAGAAGCAGCAGCUGUGGCAAAGCUGCAUGGUGCGAGUUUCCUCCUCAGGGUGCAGAUGUGUGGGUGCACAGAGAUGGAAAGCUAUGAGGCAUUCUGUCUGCGCAGUGUGGCUGUACUGCAGGAGGAAGGGAUGUUCAAGAAGACGUGUGAGGCACUCUCUUCCCCCAAGGCUUGCUCUGUCAUCUGUUUCCAUGGCAGAGCUGUGUUGUCACCACUGUUGAAUGCAGAACAGCGCACUGAGAUGUUUGACCUCAGGCGGCACGCAGUGCAGCUGGAGGUGAACAGGCAAGACCAGCAGAGGAUCAGGGUUUUGGCUGGGGUUCAGAACAUACUUGACCAAACUCAGACUGGACCAUGUGAAGAAGUUAACAAGCAACCAACUCCUCUCAGUUGCCUUUCCUCAAAAUGUGAGACAGUUGGUGGUUACACCUUGGUAACUGACUCACCUGGAUUGCCCACAAACCCAGAAUGUAGCCUUAAAAGAAGUGAUCAACCUGCCAUUACGUGCUCUGAGACACUCUCCAUUAAUGAUGAUAGAGCAGUGGAGAUGGAAGAGGAGAGUGGAGAUGCAAAGAGGGAGGAUUUUAAUGUAGGUGGCCUUCUCAAGAGAUCAAGGGAGUUUGUCAAGAGGGAGCAGAGUCAGCAAGGGUCAACACCUAUCGUAUCAGUCAUUCAGACUCCUUCGCCUGACAUCACACAGGACAAGGAAAACACUCAUCGCUCGCAGGAGGACACUAGCAUUGAGUUUGGUUUCAGUUUACACCACAGCCCCAUAGGCCUACCUCAGACUCAGCCCCAGCAUCAAGAAUUGUAUGACCCCAAACCACACCAGGCUGCCUGCCUCUCACCUAGUUUACCUGAAUGUUACACUCACUUGCACAGUUUAGAGCCCACUGUUAAUACCCGAGCACACAAACGCAGACCACGCCCAGUUUCUGCUGGGAAUAUCCAUAUCUCAUUCCCUAUUGAACCUGAAGACCUUAUACCUCAGAGCCCAGGCAGAUCAGGAAAAAGUGCAGGCAUAGGGAGCUGGGGAGAUGUUCUGUCAGCGGCCACAAGCUCAUCUGAUUGCUGCGGCUCAGUAGGGGGUGAAGGGGGGUGUGGUUUUAGAAGGGGUAACAACCGUCAUUCCAGUCACUGCAUUACCAGUCCAGUGCAGGAGGUGUGCAGCCCAGUAGCACACCACGACCAUCUGGCUUCAGGUUUUCGCCGGCGAUGCCACACCAUGGACAGUCAGCUGCAUACCUCCUUCUCUUAUGGAGGUGAGUGCAUAGACCGCAGCCAAGAAAGGGCCCCUCGAUUCAUGGCAGGAGUUACAUGUUUGGCCCCAAGUCGGCGCUCCCCUUCAUCGCUCUUGAACCAAACAUAUGAGGUGGAGAAUCCCUCAGCUUGUCUGCUGAAGCAUCGUGCAGUUCCUGAAUUGUCUGAAGUCAAACUCAGGGUAAAGCUUGAGGACCCACAAGAGCCAAACACUGGUGAGAAGCAGAGGCGAGCAAAGGCUGUGGAGGACAUGCAGAAGCAUGUGGAAGAGGAACAUGCCCUGCAGAUGUCUCUGCUUUGGUCUGAGAAGAAGAAGCAACAAUGCCUGUGUGUGGAGGUUGAGGAGGCAGGGAGAAGAUUGAAAGAGCAGCCGUGUGACUGGGCUCUGAGUGGACAUGCUUGCAGGUGGAAUUGGAGGUCUGUGAGUGACAACUGCGCUGUUAUGAGUCCUUCCUGCCCUGGCAUAAGCCCUGCCCACACUCCAUCUGAACCAUCACCUGGACACGGUUUGCACAUCCCUGUAAGUUCCUCCAUGGCUUCUCCUUGUGUCCAGUCUCCUGUUUAUCUGUGGGGCCCCACUUGGGGGACAAGCAAAACUCGAUCACGACUUAGUCUGAUUCUGACGCCAGAACAGCAGAGGGCAUUUUGUCGCAUUUGUGCCAUCGCUCGUGGGUUCCUCACACGCAGACUGUUAAAAACCGAGAAGGUGAAACAACUGCGCCAGACUGUUGUGGACAUAAGGAGUUCAUCAGCUCAUUCCAGGAUGAAGCUCUGCAGAAAAAAGGUAUCUUGUCUGCACAAGACCUCUCACUGCAAGAGGAGAGUUAGAGCUCAGUUACGUGUCGCCCUUUAUGACAUCCAUGACAUAUUUUUUUGAAAUGCCUUUGAAAGAUCGAUUGCCUUGCUGCAGCAGGACAGGGAGCUUCGAGCGGAGAAAAAGCUACGUGACAUGGACAAAGCCAAGUGUAAAGAGAGGCUGAUGCUGUCCGCUGUUACACAGAGGUCCUUAGACAGGAAAAAGAGGGUUGAAUCGCCAGCACAGCCUAGGAAGGUGCAACAGAAGCCAAAAAGCCCCGUAGCCAACAGAGUGCAGAAGUCACUCCAAGGCCAAAAUAUUCCUGUCCCAGGCCAGUUGAACCACCAGGGGAGCUGGUACAAAAAGACAACAGAGGACAGAGUCAGGCGUUCAGACAGCCUGAAGAAACGGAACUCUCUGGGUUAACUCUAAAUUUCAUGAGCUGUGAACUUGAAUUUUUGAGUUUUUUAUCACAUUCAAAUUAAUAACAGAAACUUGUCAGAACUACUAAUAAUCUGAUUGUUUCAACUGUCAUAUUUUGUGUUAUUACACAAUAAUAUGAAGCGAAUGUGUUUGACUUCUCUGCCUUGUUUGUCAUAAUACUUUUAUGUAUGUAGAUGAUUGUAUUGGAGUAUUCAGUGACUGAGCAGGUAAAUGUCAAGUCAGAAAAACUAAUUUUACAUGAUUAAAUAGUAGCAUACUGUAGUAGCUAUAAAGUCAAAGUAAAGUGACUUAUAACAGUAAUUUUACAUUGCAGAAAAGUUGCUAUAAUAUCGUAAUUACUUGUGCUUAAAUCAAAUGUUGAAGGGCUUUGAGUACCUCUUUGUGCUUUGUUUUUUUAUUUGAUGGUGCUGAGUUUACACUUUAUAAGUACUUUGAAACAUUUCACUGUAUCAGUAUUUGGAGCAGAUUAAUGCCACAUGGACAUGAAACUGUGAAUGUAGUAUUUGUGAACGCUGUUGAUUGCUGUUACAUUAUUAUACUGUAUUCACAGAAGUGGAGUCGGAU